GCGUUCUGAAGUCCUGGUGUAGCUACAGAGAAACCAGUUCUCUUCAGAAUGC
rfam:Anolis carolinensis chromosome Tnknown cont2.30027, whole genome shotgun sequence.